rnacentral:rRNA from 1 species
GACAGAGGGUGCAAACGUUGUUCGGAUUUACUGGGCGUAAAGCGCGUGUAGGCGGCUUUGCAAGUCGGAUGUGAAAGCCCACGGCUCAACCGUGGAAGUGCAUCCGAAACUGCAUGGCUGGAGUCUCGGAGAGGAAGGUGGAAUGCUUGGUGUAGAGGUGAAAUUCGUAGAUAUGUCACAGAACACCAAUUGCGAAGGCAGCUUACUAAGGUGCAAUUGACGCUGAGGCACGAAAGCGUGGGGAUCAAACAGG